GAUGAAGAACGUAGCGAAAUGCGAUACUUGGUGUGAAUUGCAGAACCCCGUGAACCAUCGAGUCUUUGAACGCAAGUUGCGCCCGAAGCCAUUAGGCCGAGGGCACGCCUGCCUGGGCGUCACACGUCGUUGCCCCCCCAUCUACUCCUUCGGGAUUGCGGGGGGCGGAUGAUGGCCUCCCGUGCGCCUCGUCGCGCGGUUGGCAUAAAUGCCAAGUCCUCGGCGACGCACGCCACGACAAUCGGUGGUUGCGAAACCUCGGUUGCCCGUCGUGUGCGGUCGUCGCGCAUCGAGGGCUCGAAAAAAUUGCCGGGCUCCGGCUCGGCUUUCAACGCGACCCCAGGUCAGGCGGGGUUACCCGCUGAAUUUAAGCAUAUCAUAAGCGGAGGA
rnacentral:misc_RNA from 1 species